rnacentral:rRNA from 1 species
AUUGAACGCUGGCGGCAUGCCUUACACAUGCAAGUCGAACGGUAACAGGUUAAGCUGACGAGUGGCGAACGGGUGAGUAAUGUAUCGGAACGUGCCCAGUCGUGGGGGAUAACUGCUCGAAAGAGCAGCUAAUACCGCAUACGACCUGAGGGUGAAAGCGGGGGAUCGCAAGACCUCGCGCGAUUGGAGCGGCCGAUAACAGAUUAGGUAGUUGGUGAGGUAAAGGCUCACCAAGCCGACGAUCUGUAGCUGGUCUGAGAGGACGACCAGCCACACUGGGACUGAGACACGGCCCAGACUCCUACGGGAGGCAGCAGUGGGGAAUUUUGGACAAUGGGCGCAAGCCUGAUCCAGCCAUGCCGCGUGCGGGAAGAAGGCCUUCGGGUUGUAAACCGCUUUUGUCAGGGAAGAAAAGGUUCUGGCUAAUACCUGGGACUCAUGACGGUACCUGAAGAAUAAGCACCGGCUAACUACGUGCCAGCCGCCGCCGUAA